rnacentral:misc_RNA from 1 species
GAAAUGCGAUAAGUAAUGUGAAUUGCAGAAUUCAGUGAAUCAUCGAAUCUUUGAACGCACAUUGCGCCCGCCAGUAUUCUGGCGGGCAUGCCUGUCCGAGCGUCAUUUCAACCAUCAAGCCCCCGGGCUUGUGUUGGGGACCUGCGGCUGCCCGCAGGCCCUGAAAACCAGUGGCGGGCUCGCUGUCACACCGAGCGUAGUAGCAAUCACCUCGCUCAGGGCGUGCUGCGGGUUCCGGCCGUUAAACAGCCUUCGUAACCCAAGGUUGACCUCGGAUCAGGUAGGAAGACCCGCUGAACUUAAGC